rnacentral:rRNA from 1 species
UACGUAGGGUGCGAGCGUUGUCCGGAAUUAUUGGGCGUAAAGAGCUCGUAGGCGGUUUGUCACGUCUGCUGUGAAAUCCCGAGGCUCAACCUCGGGUCUGCAGUGGGUACGGGCAGACUGGAGUGCGGUAGGGGAGAAUGGAAUUCCUGGUGUAGCGGUGAAAUGCGCAGAUAUCAGGAGGAACACCGAUGGCGAAGGCAGGUCUCUGGGCCGAUACUGACGCUGAGGAGCGAAAGCGUGGGGAGCGAACAGG